rnacentral:rRNA from 1 species
AGUGAACGCUGGCGGUAGGCCUAACACAUGCAAGUCGAACGGCAGCACAGUAAGAGCUUGCUCUUACGGGUGGCGAGUGGCGGACGGGUGAGGAAUACAUCGGAAUCUACUUUUUCGUGGGGGAUAACGUAGGGAAACUUACGCUAAUACCGCAUACGACCUACGGGUGAAAGCAGGGGAUCUUCGGACCUUGCGCGAUUGAAUGAGCCGAUGUCGGAUUAGCUAGUUGGCGGGGUAAAGGCCCACCAAGGCGACGAUCCGUAGCUGGUCUGAGAGGAUGAUCAGCCACAGUGGAACUGAGACACGAUCCAGACUCCUACGGGAGGCAGAAGUGGGGAAUAUUGGACAAUGGGCGCAAGCCUGAUCCAGCCAUACCGCGUGGGUGAAGAAGGCCUUCGGGUUGUAAAGCCCUUUUGUUGGGAAAGAAAAGCAGCAGGUUAAUACCCCGCUGUUCUGACGGUACCCAAAGAAUAAGCACCGGCUAACUUCGU